rnacentral:rRNA from 1 species
UACAGAGGUCUCAAGCGUUGUUCGGAUUCAUUGGGCGUAAAGGGUGCGUAGGUGGCGCCGUAAGUCAGGUGUGAAAUCUCGGGGCUCAACCCCGAAACUGCAUUUGAUACUGCGGUGCUCGAGUACUGGAGAGGAGAUUGGAAUUUACGGUGUAGUAGUGAAAUGCGUAGAUAUCGUAAGGAAGACCAGUGGCGAAGGCGGGUCUCUGGACAGUUCCUGACACUGAGACACGAAGGCCAGGGGAGCAAACGGG